GCAUUAGUCGUUGCCGCUGUAGCUCAGUGCUAGAGCUCCUGUAUGCGGGGAGAGAAAGCGCCUAGCAAUAGCUGUCUUGAGGUUGUAGGUUUGAAUCCUACCCGGCGGCUA